UUCUAUGGCGGGCCGGCGGGGAGACCUUUGGGUCUGCCGGUGUCCGUGGAGCCGGUUCGCCAACCCCGUUCGGUCUGCCACCCCC
rnacentral:antisense_RNA from 1 species